UACGUAGGGGGCAAGCGUUGUCCGGAUUUAUUGGGCGUAAAGAGCGUGUAGGCGGCCAACUAAGUCGGACGUGAAAUCCCCAGGCUCAACCUGGGAACUGCGUCCGAUACUGGAUGGCUUGAAUCCGGGAGAGGGAUGCAGAAUUCCAGGUGUAGCGGUGAAAUGCGUAGAUAUCUGGAGGAAUACCGGUGGCGAAGGCGGCAUCCUGGACCGGCAUUGACGCUGAGGAGCGAAAGCCAGGGGAGCAAACGGG
rnacentral:rRNA from 1 species